rnacentral:rRNA from 1 species
GAUGAACGCUGGCGGCGUGCCUAAUACAUGCAAGUCGAGCGAACGGACGAGAAGCUUGCUUCUCUGAUGUUAGCGGCGGAUGGGUGAGUAACACGUGGAUAACCUACCUAUAAGACUGGGAUAACUUCGGGAAACCGGAGCUAAUACCGGAUAAUAUUUUGAACCGCAUGGUUCAAAAGUGAAAGACGGUCUUGCUGUCACUUAUAGAUGUAUCCGCGCUGCAUUAGCUAGUUGGUAAGGUAACGGCUUACCAAGGCAACGAUGCAUAGCCGACCUGAGAGGGUGAUCGGCCACACUGGAACUGAGACACGGUCCAGACUCCUACGGGAGGCAGCAGUAGGGAAUCUUCCGCAAUGGGCGAAAGCCUGACGGAGCAACGCCGCGUGAGUGAUGAAGGUCUUCGGAUCGUAAAACUCUGUUAUUAGGGAAGAACAUAUGUGUAAGUAACUGUGCACAUCUUGACGGUACCUAAUCAGAAAGCCACGGCUAACUACGUG